UUAGAAUUUUGAAACAAUUAAAGUUUUUGUAUUUCUAUCACUCACUCAAAAUUUGCUAACAACAUUCACCCCACACAGCCCAGUCAGGCCAAACUGUGACUUGCAUAGUUGGCAGUGAAUAGCUUGUGACCUGCACAUAACGAUGCUCGUAAGUAGCAGUAGCUGCCUUGUUGCAUGCCUCAACUUUUGUGCAACAGAAAACAACAACAAAAAAAGCUGGAAUAUGUGGACACCCGAAAUAGUUGAGCGCUCAGCAAUGAUGAGACCCCCCACUACAGCUGCAAAAUAAAUAAAUGAAAUGCCGGAGACGGCUUGCAAAA